UUGAGUUCAUUGUCACAAGUUGGGGGUUUUCCCCGACUUGUACACGGGAUGAGUUCCUUCAGAUUCAGGCUUUGAUAAUGUGAAUCCCUUGUGAUUGCAUCUUUAGUGAGUUUUUGUUCCCAUUUAUCGGUUUCUACCGGGAAUCUAUGAUUACAAGUUAUAAAUUUUAUUAGAGGGAUAUAUGUUGUGGCUGGGUAAGAGGUAUUUUUCAAAGGAGAACUAGGGUUUGAUAUACUUAUAUAGAUUGGCGAUGCAAUAUCAUCUUUUUCUAAAGGCAUUCUUGAAGAAACUUGUCCCUUUAAAGUGUCUUCGAUACGGUUUUGAGCCUCUUAGUCGUAACUGUAUAAGGAUUAUCAAUCACGUUACAUGACCAUUAGUUUAGUAUAUUAGUUGUACAUUUUAACCACUUAUGUCUGUAAAGUUCUGAUUCUCAUACAUUUUUUGGGCUGAGUCCCGUCCGGGAUUCGAACCCACACUGCCCUGAGUGGGGCACCAAAUCGCCAACACACAGGCAGCGAGCUAACCUACUGAGCCAUUGAGGCCCCCACAAAAAUGAAAGCCCGACAACUGGUAGUCUAGAUCACGUAGUUUGUGUACCCCUCUGACAUGGGUAAAUGGACACGGCUCCCGUUGCAUUGUGUAUUCACACUUAUGUCCUUGUACUUGUAUCAUAAUGCACAUAAUUAUAAACUGAGUGUGUGAGCUUCUGAUUGCAAAUUGCAUUUUUAUGCAAGAGGUUUUUUUCAUUCUCUUAUAUACUUUUAAAGGAAGCGCCAUUCUUCCAAAUUCGCCAUAAAUCACGAAGUUUGCGUUACUGUUCCUGAAUCCUUAUUGCCAUUUUCCAAAAAAUGAUUUUAAAUGUUUCAAAAUUUUCAUAUCCCCAUAGUUCGCAGCCAUGUUUGAGAAUAGUUGUUACCAAUACAUCGAAGGCUAAACAUACAGUCGAGUGAAAGUUUUUUUUAAAUUUUUUUUUUAUAGUAAGGAAAACAAGUAGUAGAUGUAGAAGAUGCAGGUUCCUUUGAAGCUCAAUUCUCACGUAAUUGUAAUCGCUCACGACCUCAAGUUCAUUUUCACCGCAUACAAGUAUGAACGUUUUACCUUUACAACGAUCAACGGUGCGCUCCACCGUGGGAUGAGGAGCAACCAGGUCUGGACCAGACAAUCCAGUGGUUGCAGCAUCUAAGUUAUGUAUAAAAUACGUAUUAAUGAUAAUUUAAAGGGAACCUGAUCCCAUUGCUGUAAAAGGUUUUGCGAAAACAUUUUUACACUGUUCACAUUGGUGUUGAACGUAAGCUCUGAUAUCUGACUUACAUUUGCCUUCAGUCUCAUGGAACUCCUCUUAGCCGCCGGAUCUUAUCUCCUCUUAGCCGCCGGAUCUUAUCUCCUCUUAGCCGCCGGAUCUUAUCUCCUCUUAGCCGCCGGAUCUCAUCUCUUUGCCGCCGGAUCUCCUCUCUUCGCCGCCGGAUCUCCUCUCCUCUCUUCGCCGAGGGAUCUCCGGGUUGGCAAACGGUGUGGACAUCAUCGACGACGACUGCGUCUGGUUAGCAACUGUGGCAGCCUGUGGUCCCUGGGGCGGCUGCACAAGCUUGGGGUCCCUGGGGCGGCUGCACAAGCUGGGGUCCCUUGGGCGGCUGCACAAGCUGGGGUCCCUGGGAAGCCUGUUGCAUCAAUCCUACCGAUCAGAAAAAGAGGACAAGGCUGCUAAUAGAAAAUCAUAAUGAUAAUAAUUUUGAAUUGCAUAGGAACGAAGCGGUAAACGACAAUCGUGAUAGUUCUGUGGAAGUAUCCGUGUUUUAUAGUGAGCCAUUAGGAAACAGCCAUAUAAUUUUCAAAGGGGGUGUGGGGGUGGAUUUGAUACCAUCAUUUUACUUUGUUUUGCAGUUAAAGUACUGUUUCAGUACAAAACUAAACACUGAUACGUCAAUACAAGAAAAGGGGCACCUAAAAUAUCAUUUAAAUAGGGGCUUGAUUAUGUGAAGGAGCAUGUCCGAAAAUAAUCCCGAGAUUGAGGACUUUCUCCUACUUCGAUCACGUUAAUGCCUCAAACUAAUUUUCAAGUGAUAUAUACGUGCCAAACUGACGGAGGUGUUCUAGUUGUACAUGGUCAUGACAAACCAAGUCGCUAAAACACGCCAAUAAACGUGCAAAACUAUGUGGUGUGUAUAUCUAUCUGCGCAUGCAACAUCAUAUUUUUCGAUUUUCGAUGAACGACGUUCGACUCGGCAGGGCUGUCAGCGUGAUUCCGACAACGAUGUAUUUGUCACACAAUAUAGUUUCACGAACACUUUCGAGGCGGAAGUUAAUUCCGAUUUUGAAACUUUACUUAAUUUGGAUUCAAAUGAACUUCCAAACUUUGAUGUUGGUAAAUGUGAGUUGAUUGAUCUCGAAGAGUUUCCUCAGGUUCUAACACUGAUCUGUACAAAGCAAGCCAAGCAAUUGAAUCUUACCUUCUUAAUUUGCUACCUUGUAACACUCGCUCGCUAUUAACUUCAUCAGAAAUACCUCAAUGACGUGACGCUUCUAAAUAUAGGGUAGAUUCAAGUUCAGCAAGGUUUGGCAAGCCAACAUCUGAUAAUGACAUUAAGAAGUGUGAUUCAGCAUACUUUUCGAAUACUGAAAACAAGAGUAUGUGGGCAGCUCGCUUGUGUCAAGGGUUGGUGAAGGAACGGCGUAAGAGGGGCAGAACAGAGGACAUGGUAUUGAACCCUGACAUUGUGUCACUGGCUCAGGAGGAAAGGGAGUCAUAUGAAACAUUGAUGUAUUUUAUGACUGAGGUCAGAAAUCAGAAGGGCGAGGAAUAUCGCGGAAACACUCUUUAUGAAAUUGACACAUCCCUACACUAUUAUAUCAGAAAGAACGGCACCCAACUGAAUUUUUUUCGAAUCUCCGAUGUUUCAAGGAUUAAGGUCCGUGCUAGAUGCGAGAAUGAAAUAUUUGGCAAGACAGGGAAUCGGGAUGGGGAAAAGGCAGGUUGAAGUGAUCAGUGUGGUGUAUUUAAUUGGCCUCAAUUUGUGCUCCGAGGGCUGGUGAUGAGCACAGACAUCUUAGAACGGGUCCGAAUUCACAGUUCGAAAUAACAGUUGGUGCUGAUGGGUUGAAAUGUCUAAAAUACAUGGAAGAUGUGUUCAAAACAGAGAUGGCUUAAAACAUCGACAGCGUGAACGAAAAUGCGUCAAAGUGGGCCAGAACUUGGAAGUCCAGAGAGGUGCCUUUUUCGCCUUUAUGAAAAGUACAUGUCACUCAGACCUUAAGACGAAAAACGUCAAAAUGCACCGCAUUUUACUUGACCUUGAAAUUUAUGAGAAAAUACAUGGUAUGCUGACAUUCCGAUUGGAUUACAUCCUUUAGGAGGGACUGUCGGACGACUCUGUAAAGUGACAGGCUUUAGUGGUGGCUAUUCCAACCACUCGCUGAGGGCCACCACUGCAACGUGUCUGUAUGAAUCUGGCCUAGACGAACAGCUUAUCGCUGAGGGGACAGGGCACAUUGCAAGUCUCUGGCAAUACGGAGCUACAUGAGGACAUCUGCGGCGACGGAAACGCGUAUUGACAACACCAUUCGGAGGGAAUCCAGUAAACCUACAUCCCCCCCAACUGUGUCGACAGUAAUCAGAUCUACGUCAACGGCAUCAACUGCAUCAACUUUGACCAGUACCAAAGAGACUGAUGGCAGAGCUUCGAGGAAUGGACGCGAUUUUAAUUUGGAUCUAAGGGAUGGCGUUGUUUUGUCUCUAACAUUCUGAGAAUAAACGU